AUCCGACUGACGAGUCUCAAAUAAGACGAAAUACUGUUCUUGGAU
rfam:Schistosoma mattheei strain Denwood, Zambia genome assembly, scaffold: SMTD_contig0004785